rnacentral:rRNA from 1 species
AAUGAACGUUGGCGGCGUGGAUUAGUCAUGCAAGUCGAGCGAGAACCCCGCAAGGGGGGACCGCGGCGAAAGGGACAGUACUGUGUAGAUUAUCUGCCCUCAGGUCCGGGAUAGCUGCGGGAAACUGCAGGUAAUACCGGAUAACAUCUCCGGAUCAAAGGUGUGAUUCCGCCUGAGGAUGAGUCUGCAUCCUAUUAGCUAGUUGGUGGGGUAAUGGCCUACCAAGGCAUUGAUGGGUAGCAGGUGUGAGAGCACGACCUGCGUCAUUGGGACUGAGACACUGCACAGACACCUACGGGUGGCUGCAGUCGAGAAUCUUCGGCAAUGGGCGCAAGCCUGACCGAGCGACGCCGCGUGUGGGAUGAAGGCCUUCGGGUUGUAAACCACUGUCAGAGGGGAUGAAAUGCAGGUGGGUUCUCCCAUCUGUUUGACAUAGCCUCAGAGGAAGGACGGGCUAAGUUCGUG